AUUACUCCUACGGGAGGCAGCAGUGGGGAAUCUUGCGCAAUGGGCGAAAGCCUGACGCAGCCAUGCCGCGUGAAUGAUGAAGGUCUUAGGAUUGUAAAAUUCUUUCACCGGGGACGAUAAUGACGGUACCCGGGGAAUAAGCUCCGGCUAACUCCGUGCCAGCAGCCGCGGUAAUAAU
rnacentral:rRNA from 1 species